GACGAGGGGUCCAAGCGUUGUUCGGAAUCAUUGGGCGUAAAGCGGGUGUAGGUGGCUCUUUAAGUCAGGGGUGAAAUCCUGGAGCUCAACUCCAGAACUGCCUUUGAUACUGAGGAUCUUGAGUUCGGGAGAGGUGAGUGGAACUGCGAGUGUAGAGGUGAAAUUCGUAGAUAUUCGCAAGAACACCAGUGGCGAAGGCGGCUCACUGGCCCGAUACUGACGCUGAGGCACGAAAGCGUGGGGAGCAAACAGG
rnacentral:rRNA from 1 species